GAUGAACGCUGGCGGCGUGCUUAACACGUGCAAGUCGAACGGGAAUUAUUUUAUUGAAACUUCGGUCGAUUUAAUUUAAUUCUAGUGGCGGACGGGUGAGUAACGCGUGGGUAACCUGCCUUAUACAGGGGGAUAACAGUCAGAAAUGGCUGCUAAUACCGCAUAAGCGCACAGAGCUGCAUGGCUCAGUGUGAAAAACUCCGGUGGUAUAAGAUGGACCCGCGUUGGAUUAGCUUGUUGGCAGGGUAACGGCCUACCAAGGCGACGAUCCAUAGCCGGCCUGAGAGGGUGAACGGCCACAUUGGGACUGAGACACGGCCCAGACUCCUACGGGAGGCAGCAGUGGGGAAUAUUGCACAAUGGGGGAAACCCUGAUGCAGCGACGCCGCGUGAAGGAAGAAGUAUCUCGGUAUGUAAACUUCUAUCAGCAGGGAAGAUAGUGACGGUACCUGACUAAGAAGCCCCGGCUAACUACGUG
rnacentral:rRNA from 1 species